rnacentral:rRNA from 1 species
AGCCUCUUAAUGGGGUGACUGCGUACCUUUUGUAUAAUGGGUCAGCGACUUAUAUUCUGUAGCAAGGUUAACCGAAUAGGGGAGCCGAAGGGAAACCGAGUCUUAACUGGGCGUUAAGUUGCAGGGUAUAGACCCGAAACCCGGUGAUCUAGCCAUGGGCAGGUUGAAGGUUGGGUAACACUAACUGGAGGACCGAACCGACUAAUGUUGAAAAAUUAGCGGAUGACUUGUGGCUGGGGGUGAAAGGCCAAUCAAACCGGGAGAUAGCUGGUUCUCCCCGAAAGCUAUUUAGGUAGCGCCUCGUGAAUUCAUCUCCGGGGGUAGAGCACUGUUUCGGCAAGGGGGUCAUCCCGACUUACCAACCCGAUGCAAACUGCGAAUACCGGAGAAUGUUAUCACGGGAGACACACGGCGGGUGCUAACGUCCGUCGUGAAGAGGGAAACAACCCAGACCGCCAGCUAAGGUCCCAAAGUCAUGGUUAAGUGGGAAACGAUGUGGGAAGGCCCAGACAGCCAGGAUGUUGGCUUAGAAGCAGCCAUCAUUUAAAGAAAGCGUAAUAGCUCACUGGUCGAGUCGGCCUGCGCGGAAGAUGUAACGGGGCUAAACCAUG